GUCUCUUGGUUAUCAAUUUCAAAUAAAGAGUCGGGCCUGCUCGGUGAAAUUUUUAACAGCUGCGGUAUUUUAACUGUACUAAGGUAGCAUAAUAAUUUGCCUUAUAAUUUGAGGCUAGAAUGAAUGGUUUGACGAAGGUUAAUCUGUCUCAACCUUAUUUUUUAGAAGUUAAUUUUCAAAGUGAAAAAGCUUGAAUUUUUUAAAGGGACGAGAAGACCCUAUUGAGCUUAUAAUUUUAUUAGUGCUUAGUUUAAAUACAAAUGCAUAUAUAUAAAUUUUAAUUGGGGUGAUUAAGGAAUAAAAAUAAUAAAUUAUAAGUAACUUCCUUAGAAGUAUUAGUAUUGAUAAAUGAAGUAACCAAUAAAUAAACAUAUAUUGCUUAUAACAUAGUUACCAUAGGGAUAACAGCGUAAUUUACUUAGAGAGUUCUUAUUGAAAAGUAAGAUUGCGACCUCGAUGUUGGAUUAAAGUAACCUUAAGGUGUAGAAGCUUUAAUAAGGGAAAUCCGGUCCANUUUUAAAACUUUACC
rnacentral:rRNA from 1 species